rnacentral:lncRNA from 1 species
GUGUUGAAGAAAAACUCAGUGCCUGACUGGCCGUUGAUUGCAACUUACCUGAUCAGCGAGGCAAGUAAGUAGAAAAUGGUUAACUUGUUUAGCAAGCUACAGUAUAAAACUGCUGUCUUUAGGUUGAAGGGAAAGGAGGCUUGGUAAAGAAGCUAUUCGACAUUGGAUAUAAGCGACGGCUAGCUGCAAUAGAAGGAAGCUGGUUUGGUGCUUGGGGAUUGGAGAAGACGUUCUGGGAAGCUAGCGUGUUCAAACCGAUACAAGCUUCACUCGGAGGGCGUCUUAGAUUCAUGUUAUGUGGUGGAGCUCCUUUAUCUGCAGAUUCACAGAGAUUCAUCAAUAUAUGCAUAGGGUAAUUAGUUUACUUCCAAGUUUAUCAUGACCUUAAAGGUUCAAUCUUUAUUUGACUUUUUUCUCAUGAGUAUGUUACUAUACUUCAGGGCUCCUAUAGGUCAAGCAUAUGGGUUGACCGAAACGUCUGCUGGAGCUGCAUUUUCCGAGUGGGAUGAUACUUCAGUAGGCCGUGUUGGACCGCCUCUUCCUUGUGCCUACAUCAAGGUAUAUAUGGCCAAUCUCAGUAGCAGAUUCGUGCUCGUAAAUCGAGAUUUACUCUUCAGGCGGCUUGUCCUUUGUUGUUUUGCAGCUUGUUUCUUGGGGAGAAGGAGGCUAUACUAUAGAAGACAAGCCGAUGCCAAGAGGAGAGAUAGUAGUAGGGGGAUUAAGUGUAACAGCUGGUUACUUCAACAACAAGGAAAAGACCGAUGAGGUGUACAAGGUAACAUCCAUUGCUAUGUUCCCUUUAGAAUUGGUUCUCAUUAGCAGAUAUGAACAUAUAGUGUUCCUCUUCAUGUUGCAGACCGACGAAAGAGGCUUUCGCUGGUUUUACACAGGCGACAUUGGACAAUUCCACCCGGAUGGAUGCCUUGAGAUCAUAGAUAGGAAGAAGGAUAUUGUCAAGCUUCAACAUGGAGAAUACAUCUCCCUUGGAAAGGUGGAAAAUAUUUAGUCUUUAUGCAAUCACGUGGCACAAUUUUCGUUCUGUGCUUUGCUGAUUCAUCUUGUGGUUACAGGUUGAAGCAGCUCUACUGACAAGCAACUAUGUCGAUAGCAUCAUGAUAUAUGCAGACCCUCUGCAGAGUUAUUGUGUCGCUCUUGUUGUUCCGUCGCGACAAGUACUCGAGAAAUGGGCGCAAGAAGCCGGAAUCGAUUAUCAGGACUUGAGCGAAUUGUGUGACAAAGAUGAAGCUGUUAAUGAAGUUCAGAAGCAACUUUCCAAGGUGGCGAAAGCUGCGAACUUGGACAAGUUCGAAACUCCGGCGAAGGUCAAGUUGCUUCCUGAUCCAUGGACACCCGAGUCUGGCUUAGUGACGGCAGCUCUCAAGAUAAAGAGGGAGCAGCUCAAGUCCAAGUUCAAAGAUGAACUGCAGAAGCUCUAUCAUUGAACUACGACGAACGAGUUUCCUUAUCCAGCCUCAUGCACGAGCAAAAAUGCUUCCAUCGAUCCUAUUUAACACUUUCUGCACUUUCUGUUUUCGCUAUCUCGAGUUUUCUUGUCACGAAAGGGAAAUUUUAGAUUCUGAAAAGACGCAUUUCCCCUGAAGCACUAUUUCUGUACACGGUGUUUAAAAAUCUUGAUGAACUAUAAUGACAGGAGGAGACUUGCAUUGCAAGGCAAUAAAUGUUGUAGAUUUCUUUGUCAGAAUAAGACUUUACACUACCAGAAAAUUGCAAAAUCGAGGUUACAUUUGUAAGUGAUCCCGUGUUGGCUCUGUAGUAUAAACUGUACUCAUCAGAUUGGAUACAAGCAGUGAUCAGAUCUCUGUAAGUACCUGAAACUGGGUCAGAUCUGCUGAUUGAUGCAGAGAGCUAAAUCCCAAAAUGUUAAAUUUCUAUUCCAGCUCUGAUGAAUCUGCAAGUUCUGAUAACGAUGGCCGCAGGACAAGAUACAAAGCUGGACCCAAGAAAGGAACCAGUGAUAUGGGAAGGAGCCAAGCACCUUUGUGGAACCUGUGGCAUCAUUCCAAGUGAAACUAAGAACUUUCUCCUAAUGAUGUCAACGAAACCAAACUUUACACUAAAAUAACAAGUGGGUUAUAAGAUCUUCACCAUUUCCUAGCAGACAUGUCGUUGUAAACCCAGAAAGGAGCGAACAAGGAUAGCAAAGAGAAGUCAAGAGAUGUGACGUGAAUCUGCCAGCAUGGUUUAGAAGCCAGAUACAUAAAAUUAGUCAACACCGUGGUUGAUAAGUUCCUUAAAGGGCAAGUGAUGAACAUAAGAGACAUUAUGGUAAAAGGUACUUACAAAUUUGCUCUCCCUGAAGUACUGGAAGAACUCACUCCAGUCUCCUACCGAUAUUCCUGCACGAAUGAAGAGACCUAAUCCUGCAGCAAGCAAGGCCUGUUGUGCAGAGAAGUCAAACAUCUAUAGGAAUGCAAGGAGCGAGGUGAUGUACUUAAAGACAAGAGUAUAUUACUUCUAGAGGUGGAAGGAUUCCACAAAAUGUAACGAUGGGCUGAAACGUAAUGACUGGCAAUAGUGUCUAUGCAGGCAUGGCUUAUGAGAUAAUGAUUCUCAAAGUAGUUCGGUGGAUAAGCAGACAUUGAAAAGAUACGUAUCAAUGACAGGGAAAUGAGAACUUACAACAGCAGUCAACUUGGAAUUCAUGACAUUGAGUGGCCACUUCUUGAGUUCACUUUCAUCAACAGAAGGUGGAGGAGGGUUCCAUAGGACGAAAUAGGGCAGAAGAGCAUAAGCACCACCAAAGCAAGAGAGUACGAGGAAAGGCCAAACUGGGAUACUACUCUUUGAGCUGCACAAAACAUCAAAAUGCCAUAAUUGCUGAGAUAAUAGGAUAAAAAAGAGGAAAAAGAACUCAUCUUUGUAAAGAAACCAAAAAGGGCUUUACCUUCUACCAGUUGGAAGCAGAAGCAUGGAAUAUGCUAAAGGCCACAAACCCGUAAUGUACCACAACGAAACAAGGACCUCAUUCAUCCUAAACCCAUCAUCUCCCUUAAAAAACAACAGCUUUUGCAAGAAAUACAUGUCCCUCGACUGCAAACAAGGAAGCCAAGCAACAGGAGAUGAGCCUCUCCCUCAAAUAUUCAUUAGAUUGAGAAAAAGGAAUCAAAAUUGCAGUACCGGAGUCUGGUUCGGAGUGAGAUUGAAGACAUAGAACAAGAUACCGCCCCAGAACACAAACAACAAGAUUGAAGUAGUCCAAUCCCUGCUUUCACCCUCUCGAUUCUCAUUGUCUGGACCAGCCUUCUUUUCUGAAUCAUCCUGCGGAUUGAGAACACUACAGCGUAUUUGAAGAAGACCCUUGUUCUGGAUUGAGAUAUGUGCGAUGGGUUUAAGGAAGAUAGGGGAGUUUAGACCUGUUCUGUGAAGUAAAGGUGGGAAAUUUGACUUGAGGAAUUGGGUUUGGCGGGAGGAUAAGCUGCUGAUUGCAGGUCUGCCGAUUCUGGGAUUAAGUGAAGAAGAGAAGUUGCAGGAAAUGAGGUUGGAAAUGGCCAGCAUCUUCAGAGCAAGAUAGUUUCUUUUUAGAUUCCUUUGCUGGAUUUAUUUUGUGAAGCUCGAAGAUUGGAGGGAUGCUGCUGUCUGUGGCAUGAAUAUAACAGGCCGCCAAAACGACGGCGGACGAAAAACGACGAGGUAUAAAAUGCCGUUUGGUUCAUCCGGGAGAUGCCGGUUUAUUGAGUUUCAAGCACUAAACGUUAGAUAACGGACAAACCAGUUACUUAACUUUCAUUUUUAUACGGUAAUCGUGACACAACAAUCAGCGAGUCAUUGUGAGCUGAGGAUAAGAUAAUCAGCAAGUCCUCUGCUCUGCUACCUUUCCUUCUAAAACCUCUCUGUUUUCUUCUUACCGGGCAGAGACAGCAAUGGCCAGUAGUACCGUGGGGAUGCGAUAUCGACUCACCUGAAAACGCCAAAGCCCUGCAGAAGUGGCUGUCGGACAGCGGAUUGCCGCCGCCGAAGAUGGGGAUUGAGAAAGUGGAAGGUGGCGAAAGGGGUUUGGUUGCUCUCAACAACAUCAGGAAAGGGGAGAAGUUGCUCUUCGUCCCUCCUUCCCUCUUCAUCACCGCCGAUUCGGUUAGUCUUAGUGAUUUGAAUCACUCAUCUGAUUUUUUGGCAGUAAUGAUCUUUGGUGUUUGAAAGUUUUGAAUUUGAAAUCACUACUUGUGAAAACGAAUUUUGAAAUCCAAAGGUACUCCUAACCAAGCAAGGAAAUUCAAAUACCAAAUGAAAAUCAACAUAUCCAAACAGACCCUAAGAAUGUUUGGUUGUGGUGGUAGGAAUGGAGCUGCCCGGAGGUGGGUGAGGUGUUGAAGAAAAACUCAGUGCCUGACUGGCCGUUGAUUGCAACUUACCUGAUCAGCGAGGCAAGUCUGGAGAAAUCAUCCAGAUGGAGCAACUACAUCUCUGCUUUACCCCGCCAACCUUAUUCACUGUUGUACUGGUAAGGCAAUCCCUUUCUUUCUGUUUGAAGAGAACUUUUAGUUUCUCAUUACAUUCUCUCAGC